rnacentral:rRNA from 1 species
GUGCCAGCAGCCGCGAUAAUACCGGCAGCCCAAGUGAUGGCCGAUCUUAUUGGGCCUAAAGCGUCCGUAGCUGGCCGCACAAGUCCGUCGGGAAAUCCACUCGCUUAACGAGUGGGCGUCCGGCGGAAACUGUGCGGCUUGGGACCGGAAGAUCCAAGGGGUACGUCCGGGGUAGGAGUGAAAUCCCGUAAUCCUGGAUGGACCACCGAUGGCGAAAGCACCUUGGAAGGACGGACCCGACAGUGAGGGACGAAAGCCAGGGUCUCCAACCGGAUUAGAUACCCGAGUAGUCC